CAGCCGCCGCGGUAAUACGUAGGGUGCGAGCGUUAAUCGGAUUUACUGGGCGUAAAGCGUGCGCAGGCGGCCCGUUAAGACAGGUGUGAAAUCCCUGGGCUCAACCUAGGAAUUGCGCUUGUGACUGGCGGGCUCGAGUACGGUAGAGGGGGGUGGAAUUCCUGGUGUAGCAGUGAAAUGCGUAGAGAUCAGGAGGAACACCGAUGGCGAAGGCAGCCCCCUGGGCCUGUACUGACGCUCAUGCACGAAAGCGUGGGGAGCAAACAGGAUUAGAUACCCUGGUAGUCCACGCCCUAAACGAUGGGUACUAGCCGUUUGGUGCGCGAUAGCGCUGAGUGGCGAAGCUAACGCGUGAAGUACCCCGCCUGGGGAGUAUGGCCGCAAGGUUGAAACUUAAAGGAAUUGGCGGG
rnacentral:rRNA from 1 species